UACGUAGGUGGCAAGCGUUGUCCGGACUCAUUGGGCGUAAAGAGCGUGUAGGCGGCCAGACAAGUCUGCUGUGAAAACUCGAGGCUCAACCUCGAGCUGUCGGUGGAAACUGUCUGGCUAGAGUCCGGAAGAGGAGAGUGGAAUUCCUGGUGUAGCGGUGAAAUGCGCAGAUAUCAGGAAGAACACCUAUGGCGAAGGCAGCUCUCUGGGACGGUACUGACGCUGAGACGCGAAAGCGUGGGGAGCGAACAGG
rnacentral:rRNA from 1 species